UACCAGGACCCCGAGUGGUCGGCGCGUUUAUUGGGCCUAAAGCAUCCGUAGCCGGUUCUGCAAGUCUUCCGUUAAAUCCACCUGCUUAACAGAUGGGCUGCGGAAGAUACUAUAGAGCUAGGAGGCGGGAGAGGCAAGCGGUACUCGAUGGGUAGGGGUAAAAUCCGUUGAUCCAAUGAAGACCACCAGUGGCGAAGGCGGCUUGCCAGAACGCGCUCGACGGUGAGGGAUGAAAGCUGGGGGAGCAAACCGG
rnacentral:rRNA from 1 species